CGACGCCGCGUGAGGGAUGACGGCCUUCGGGUUGUAAACCUCUUUCAGUAGGGAAGAAGCGAAAGUGACGGUACCUGCAGAAGAAGCACCGGCUAACUACGUGCCAGCAGCCGCGGUAAUACGUAGGGUGCGAGCGUUAUCCGGAAUUAUUGGGCGUAAAGAGCUCGUAGGCGGUUUGUCGCGUCUGUCGUGAAAGUCCGGGGCUUAACCCCGGAUCUGCGGUGGGUACGGGCAGACUAGAGUGCAGUAGGGGAGACUGGAAUUCCUGGUGUAGCGGUGGAAUGCGCAGAUAUCAGGAGGAACACCGAUGGCGAAGGCAGGUCUCUGGGCUGUAACUGACGCUGAGGAGCGAAAGCAUGGGGAGCGAACAGGAUUAGAUACCCUGGUAGUCCAUGCCGUAAACGUUGGGCACUAGGUGUGGGGACCAUUCCACGGUUUCCGC
rnacentral:rRNA from 1 species